GAUGAACGCUGGCGGCGUGCUUAACACAUGCAAGUCGAACGAAGCAUUUAAGACAGAUUACUUCGGUUUGAAGUCUUUUAUGACUGAGUGGCGGACGGGUGAGUAACGCGUGGGUAACCUGCCUCAUACAGGGGGAUAGCAGCUGGAAACGGCUGGUAAUACCGCAUAAGCGCACAGUACCACAUGGUACAGUGUGAAAAACUCCGGUGGUAUGAGAUGGACCCGCGUCUGAUUAGCCUGUUGGCGGGGUAACGGCCCACCAAGGCGACGAUCAGUAGCCGACCUGGGAGGGUGACCGGCCACAUUGGAGCUGAGACACGGCCCAGACUCCUACGGGAGGCAGCAGUGGGGAAUAUUGCACAAUGGAGGAAACUCUGAUGCAGCGACGCCGCGUGAGUGAAGAAGUAGUUCGCUAUGUAAAGCUCUAUCAGCAGGGAAGAUAGUGACGGUACCUGACUAAGAAGCUCCGGCUAAAUACGUG
rnacentral:rRNA from 1 species